UACGUAGGGUGCGAGCGUUGUCCGGAAUUAUUGGGCGUAAAGGGCUCGUAGGCGGUUUGUCGCGUCGGGAGUGAAAACUCAGGGCUUAACCCCGAGCCUGCAGUGGAUACGGGCGGACUGGAGUUCGGCAGGGGAGACUGGAAUUCCUGGUGUAGCGGUGAAAUGCGCAGAUAUCAGGAGGAACACCGGUGGCGAAGGCGGGUCUCUGGGCCGAUACUGACGCUGAGGAGCGAAAGCGUGGGGAGCGAACAGG
rnacentral:rRNA from 1 species